GUUGAACGCUGGCGGCAUGCCUUACACAUGCAAGUCGAACGGCAGCACGGGUGCUUGCACCUGGUGGCGAGUGGCGAACGGGUGAGUAAUAUAUCGGAACGUACCUUAUUGUGGGGGAUAACGCAGCGAAAGCUGUGCUAAUACCGCAUAAUCCCUAAGGGGGAAAGCGGGGGACCGUAAGGCCUCGCGCAAUUAGAGCGGCCGAUACCUGAUUAGCUGGUUGGUGAGGUAAAGGCUCACCAAGGCAACGAUCAGUAGCUGGUCUGAGAGGACGAUCAGCCAAACUGGGACUGAGACACGGCCCAGACUCCGCCAGGAGGCAGCAGUGGGGAAUUUUGGACAAUGGGGGCAACCCUGAUCCAGCAAUGCCGCGUGAGUGAAGAAGGCCUUCGGGUUGUAAAGCUCUUUUGUCAGGGAAGAAACAGCAGCUCUAACACAGUUUGCGAAUGACGGUACCUGAAGAAUAAGCACCGGCUAACUACGUGCCAGCCGCCGCAGUAA
rnacentral:rRNA from 1 species